GACGAACGCUGGCGGCGUGCUUAACACAUGCAAGUCGAACGGAAAGGCCCUGCUUUUGUGGGGUGCUCGAGUGGCGAACGCGCGAGUAACACGUGAGUAACCUGCCCUUGACUUUGGGAUAACUUCAGGAAACUGGGGCUAAUACCGGAUAGGAUCUCCUGCUGCAUGGUGGGGGUUGGAAAGUUUCGGCGGUUGGGGAUGGACUCGCGGCUUAUCAGCUUGUUGGUGGGGUAGUGGCUUACCAAGGCUUUGACGGGUAGCCGGCAUGAGAGGGUGACCGGCAACAUUGGGACUGAGAUACGGACCAGAAUAAAACGGGAGGCAGCAGUGGGGAAGAUUGCACAAUGGGCGGAAGCCUGAUGAAGGAAAGCCGCGAGAGGGAUGAAGGCCUUCGGGUUGUAAACCGCUUUCGGCUGUGACGAAGAGUGAGUGACGGUAAUGGGUAAAGAAGCACCGGCUAACUACGUG
rnacentral:rRNA from 1 species